AGAAGACUCUAUCCCCUCAGAAAAAGACUAUCCUCUAUCCAGAGAAGGCUCUAUCCAUAGAUAGUAGCGGUGUCCGGGUGGGGGGCUCCUCGUAUGGACAGUGAGCUGUGAGGAGGACCCGGGCCUAUUGUGUGGACUGAUCACUAAGGCGGACACAGAGGAGGAGGAGGAGAGGCAGGAGCCGGCCAUGGACAACGCACACACCAAGACGGUGGAGGAGGUGUUGGCCCAUUUCAACGUGAAUGAAAGCACAGGGCUGGGCCUGGAGCAGGUCAAGAAGCAGAAGGAGAGAUGGGGGCCCAACGAGCUACCUGCAGAGGAAGGGAAAACAUUAUGGGAGUUGGUGAUUGAACAGUUUGAAGAUUUAUUAGUUAGAAUAUUGCUGCUCGCUGCCUGUAUAUCGUUUGUGUUGGCAUGGUUUGAGGAAGGUGAAGAAACAAUCACAGCCUUUGUAGAACCUUUUGUAAUUUUACUUAUUUUAGUAGCAAACGCCAUUGUGGGUGUGUGGCAGGAAAGAAAUGCUGAAAAUGCUAUUGAAGCACUCAAGGAAUAUGAGCCUGAAAUGGGUAAAGUGUACCGACAGGACCGGAAAAGUGUCCAGAGGAUUAAAGCCAGAGAUCUUGUUCCUGGGGACAUUGUUGAAGUUGCAGUUGGUGAUAAAGUCCCGGCAGACAUAAGGCUAACUUCUAUCAAGUCUACAACUUUAAGAGUAGAUCAGUCAAUCCUAACUGGCGAGUCUGUGUCUGUUAUCAAACACACUGACCCUGUCCCUGAUCCACGUGCUGUUAAUCAGGACAAAAAGAACAUGCUCUUUUCUGGUACAAAUAUUGCUGCUGGCAAAGCAUUUGGAGUAGUUAUAGCAACAGGAGUCAACACUGAAAUUGGGAAGAUUCGAGAUGAAAUGGUAGCAACUGAGCAAGAGAGGACUCCAUUGCAGCAGAAGUUGGAUGAAUUUGGGGAACAGCUCUCCAAAGUUAUCUCUCUAAUUUGUAUCGCUGUCUGGCUGAUCAAUAUUGGACACUUUAAUGAUCCAGUUCAUGGAGGCUCUUGGAUCAGAGGAGCCAUCUACUACUUCAAAAUUGCAGUUGCCCUUGCUGUUGCUGCCAUCCCUGAGGGUUUGCCUGCGGUUAUUACUACUUGUUUGGCUCUGGGUACUAGAAGAAUGGCCAAGAAAAAUGCUAUUGUCAGAAGCUUGCCAUCUGUUGAAACCUUAGGUUGUACAUCGGUCAUCUGCUCUGACAAGACGGGAACUCUAACCACUAACCAGAUGUCUGUGUGUAGGAUGUUUGUUGUUGAUAGAGUUGAAGGUGAUAAUUGCUUCCUGAAUGAGUUUUCUGUAACAGGCUCCACUUAUGCUCCCAUGGGAGAAGUGCUGAAAGAUGACAAACUAGUGAAAUGUCACCAGUAUGACGGUCUAAUAGAGCUUGCCACCAUCUGUGCCCUUUGUAACGAUUCAUCUUUGGACUUCAAUGAGGCAAAGGGUGUUUAUGAGAAAGUUGGAGAAGCUACAGAGACUGCUCUUACCUGCCUAGUUGAAAAAAUGAAUGUAUUUGACACAGAUCUAAAGGGACUCUCAAGAAUAGAGCGUGCCAAUGCUUGCAACUCGGUUAUUAAACAACUGAUGAAGAAGGAAUUUACAUUGGAGUUCUCAAGAGAUAGGAAAUCUAUGUCUGUUUACUGUACGCCAAACAAACCAAGUCGCACUAACCUUAACAAAAUGUUUGUCAAGGGGGCUCCUGAGGGUUUAAUAGAUCGUUGUACUCAUAUCCGUGUUGGAAGCACAAAAGUACAAUUAACACCUGGCAUUAAACAGAAGAUUACGAGUGUGAUCAGAGAGUGGGGUUCAGGCCGAGACACUCUGCGCUGCUUGGCUCUGGCAACUCAUGAUAACCCCAUACGGAAAGAAGAUAUGAAUCUUGUGGAAUCGUCCAAUUUCAUUAAUUAUGAGACCAAUCUGACUUUUGUUGGCUGUGUUGGAAUGCUGGACCCACCCAGAACCGAAGUUGCUGCAUCAGUGAAAAUGUGUCGACAGGCUGGAAUACGCGUAAUUAUGAUUACUGGUGAUAACAAAGGCACAGCAAUUGCAAUUUGUCGACGUGUUGGUAUCUUCCGUGAAGAUGAGGAUGUUUCUGAGAAGGCUUUCACAGGUCGCGAGUUUGAUGAGUUGUCUCUUGCUGCACAAAGGGACGCUUGCAUGAAUGCACGCUGCUUUGCUCGUGUAGAACCUUCACACAAGUCCAAAAUUGUUGAGUUUCUGCAGUCAUUUGAUGAGAUCACAGCCAUGACUGGAGAUGGUGUCAAUGAUGCCCCUGCCUUGAAGAAAGCAGAGAUUGGAAUAGCUAUGGGAUCUGGGACUGCAGUGGCCAAAACUGCUUCAGAAAUGGUGCUGGCUGAUGAUAACUUCUCCACCAUUGUGGCUGCUGUUGAGGAAGGGCGAGCCAUCUACAACAACAUGAAGCAGUUCAUUCGUUACCUCAUCUCUUCAAAUGUCGGAGAAGUGGUUUGCAUUUUCCUGACAGCUGCCCUUGGAUUUCCUGAGGCAUUAAUUCCUGUCCAGCUGCUGUGGGUUAACUUGGUGACUGAUGGUCUUCCUGCAACUGCACUGGGUUUCAAUCCACCAGAUCUGGACAUCAUGAACAAGCCACCCCGUAAUCCUAAGGAACCACUCAUAAGUGGUUGGCUCUUCUUCCGGUAUCUUACUAUUGGAUGUUAUGUUGGUGCCGCUACAGUUGGUGCUGCUUCCUGGUGGUUUAUUGCUGCUGAUGAUGGACCAAGAAUCACUUUCUAUCAACUGAGCCAUUUUCUUCAGUGCAAAGAGGACAACCCAGAAUAUGAGAACGUUCAGUGUGAAGUCUUUGAGUCUCCUUACCCAAUGACGAUGGCGCUGUCGGUCCUUGUCACUAUUGAAAUGUGUAAUGCCUUGAACAGCUUGUCUGAAAACCAAUCUCUUCUGAGAAUGCCUCCAUGGGAAAACGUGUGGCUUCUGGGCUCGAUUUGCUUAUCCAUGUCCCUCCAUUUCCUAAUUCUUUAUGUUGAACCAUUACCUCUCAUCUUCCAAAUAACUCCAUUGAACCUGACUCAGUGGUUGAUGGUGCUGAAAAUCUCAUUACCAGUCAUUCUUCUGGAUGAGGCACUUAAAUUUAUUGCCCGUAACUACUUGGAACCCGGUAAAGAGUGUGAAAAGCCUGACGCCAAACCGUGCACUUUUUCAGCAUGCACUGAGGGAAUUUCUUGGCCGUUUGUGUUCAUUACCUUACCUUUGGUUACAUGGCUUUACAGCACCGACACUAACAUUACUGAGAUGUUUUGGUCUUGACUGACGUUUUUAUGGAAUGGAAAUGUUUAACUUAACCUAUUCAUUUUUUUUUUUUUUAUUGUUUAAAGCAACUGUCUAUUUCUGCUGAAAUUUCACACAAACGUAAUGCUGGUGAAGGCAAGUUUUUGUUUCCCAUACUAGGUCUUAUUUUGCUUCCCCCCCAAACACACACCUCUUGACUCAAUGCUGGAUAAGAGGUGCCUCACUUUUAGUUUUUUUGUUUUAUACAUACACACUUGGUGUUCAUGUACAGAGAAUUAACACUAUUUUAUGCAAAUAUUUUUUGUAGAUGGGGGGGAAAAAGCAUGUACAGUGUUCUGUUUCAUAAUAUUCAUUCUCGUUUAAAAAAAAAAAAAGGAAAAAAAAACACCCAAACAUAAGGAAGUGAAAAGGAACUUUAAUUUGAUUUAAAUGGACAUUAUCUGCAGAAAAUUAGUAGCAGAUUUAGGGAAAGUGAUUAAAUGUCUAAAAAUACAAAGCAUGAUCUGUCUUUCUGCAUGGUCAUUUGGAUUUGGUUUGAUAUCAUUAAUGCUGUCUUCUUUAAUGGGCUUUUUAUAUAGCCAUAAGCCAUUUUUUCCUGCACAAAGCAGAUAACUGCUACCUCAGUCAGUAUUUUUUGUUUUCUAGGCUCUCUUUUUUUUUAUUUUAUUUUUUUUGUCUGUUUACACUGUUUUCCAUAAGAGGUAUGCCUGUUGCUUGUGCAGCUCAUUAUACACCCAUCUAGUUCAAAUAAAGUUUCUCCCAUAGAUUUUUAAGUUUAUUUAUUUAAAUGUCUAAUGUAUUUUUUAUUGUAAGACAUUUUCAUUUUGCCAGUGUUGCCCAUAUCAUGGACUAUACUUCUCAUCCUAGACAAAAAUAAAAACAAUUUUAAUAGACAGAGAAACCAAUGUCUUGUCUUGAAAACUGCUUUAUCACCUAAGUUCCUUAUCUCUCUUUUUUUUUUUUUUAUUUUUUUUUCUGCAUUAAAACAUACUGUGUGAAUGUGAUCAAAUAACUUGCACUGCAAAGAUAAAGUUGGAUCUUAUUUCAUUUGUUGGCGCACACAAGCAUCCACCUAUUAUCAUUGCAGGAUAUUCUGUUAACUUGUAUUACCAGAGUUGGGGAGUUUAACUUUGUGUAUUUAAUUUUUUUUAACUUGUAAAUAGAACAUGACCAAAUGAACAUAUUGUAUAGAUCUAUUUUUAUUUGAAAGUGACACUAAUGACCAUCAUUUAACUGUUAGAGCAUGUUUUCAGGUUGAUUCCCGUCAGCCUCCAAAGUUUAGAUCAUUAAUCGUCCUAAUUGUGGUGUUUUUUUCCAAAUGCAUUCCAACACUCAUCAACUAAAAACAACUGGAGUAAUCCCCUCCUUAAACAAUUGUGCAGAGAUGUAAGAUUGCUUUGUUGCGUGCAUGUGUGUGUUUAGAGGCAGUUAAUGGGUACAGGAAAAGGCAUGUCUAUUGGGCUUUGAAAAUUUGCUAAACUGAAAAAAAAUACACAGCAGCAGAAUUAGAAGAUUCUGUGAAUUUGAAUUAUUCAGUGCACAGUGAAGAUGCAACAUAUAAUUGAAUGCAUAUUAAUCUUUUUGCUGUUAGAGGGGCACCCAGAGUCCUAUGAGGUAUUUGGACCCUCUAACAUCAAAUGGAUAAAGAAGAAAUCUUGAGCAGCCACGUUUGUGUUUCGCCAUGUAAGAUGUCAUUGAUUCAUGUACAAUAUCAUUGUAGUGCAUGCUUUCAGUUGUAAGUAGCCAAAUGUCUGUAUUGUAUCAUUUCCUUUAUAAACAGCUAUGUACAAUAUGCACUUGUUCUAUUUAUAAACUCAAUCAAAAGGUACAGAUGUUGAAUGUUUAAAAUGUAAAUCUCCAAAUCGCCAUUUCAUAAGUUUUAGUUUUUUUUUUAAACUUUAAGUGUGCAAAUAUCAUUUUUGCACUGUAAUAAUGUAACUUAUUAAAUUAUAAAGCAGAUAACAUUUUGGUGCAAUACGACUUAUUGUGAUGCUUCUGUUACAAGAAAACAAUGUCAGUUACUGCAAACGCAUGUUUGGCCUUUAGGCAAUUGUAAAUAAAUUCAGUUGUUGCUGACAUGAGCAUCAUACAGACAUCAUGGUUUCAGGUAAAUAAAAGUUUGUUCUACUAUA